UUUCCUCUAGAAAAAACAAGGACACCUCAUCAUCUCUAAAUUCAACUACUUUUUGUUUGAAGCUCAAUCAACUUUUUAUUCUCUUUCUUUUCCUGUUUCUGUUAUUUUCUCAAUUAAUGAUGUCAGGAGCUGAAUUUCCAAUCCUUACAGCAACAAACUUGAGGGUUUUACGAGAUCAAAAGAUCAAUGCAUAUGAUGGCGGUGGCGGCUUGACGUUGAAUUCAAGUGGGUUAUCGUCAAUUCAAUUGGGUCUUCUUAAAAAAAGCUUAAGAUUACAGUGUCGUUUUGUUAAAAAAUCAAUCUCCAUCUCUUGUAAGUCUUCCCAUGGUAGACCCUUUGAUGACGGUAGAUCCACUAAUGCCCCUGAUGAUCAUCACGAUCAUGAUUUUCUUCAUGCUUCUCUGCUCAUUUCAGAAACUGUCUUGCACUAUCGGAUGCGGAGGGAAGGUUAUCAAGAAGAAACUAGAUGGAGGUUACCAGGUAGAUGGAAUCCGUUUCUUGGCAGAACCAGGCCCUCAAGACGUGAUACUGGUUUUGUCGGGCAGAAGUUUCUUACUCGAUUCCAGAGUCCUACUAUUUUUCUAAAAGUUUCUUGUGAUGGAGACUUUCUAUUACCUAUUAUUGUUGGGGAAUUUGCCGUUGAGAAACUCGUAAAUGCGUUGCGGGGAGACGAUGGAUCUGCUGAUGGGGUAAUUCUUAGAGGAGAUGGAUAUGAUCAUGAGGGUUGCCCAGAUCAGUUUCAGCUGGUGAGAAAUCUGGUGCAUGGACUUGGAUAUGAGGUAAAAAUGGUGAAAAUUACAGAGAGGGUAGUUAACACUUAUUUCGCAAGAGUAAUUUUGAGCAAGGCAGGAGAAAAUGAAAUUGUAAGCAUAGACGCACGACCAUCUGAUGCCAUAAAUUUGGCAAAUACAUGCAAGGCUCCAAUUUUUGUAAGUAAACAAAUUGUCUUCACAGACGCUAUCAGAAUUAGCUAUGGGAGGGGAAGAGUGCAUGACAGGAAGCCUACAUAUGAUGUAUUGCUUGACAGUGCUGCUGAUGGUCCAGAUCCACUAUCAGAAGAAAUUGAGCUUGUGCGGAAUUUGAAUUUAGCUGUUGAUGAGGAAAGAUUCAAUGAUGCAGCAAUGUGGAGAGACAAACUGAUGCAGCUUCGCCAAUCAAGGCAUGACCAUUAGCUAACAUUUGGUCAAACAAACUUUCAUUAUGGUGUUCACGUUCCUCUGAAGAUGUUGGCAUUGCUAUAGGCUUGUGCAAGUGACAGAACAGCCUGAGGAACUGAAAAUUACGUUUUUUUAUGUUUCAGGAUCAUGAUUGACAUUGUAUUCUGAAUUUGUUCAGAAUUAAUUGAUCAUAAUCACAAAGUUAUCUUCCUGGGAAAUAUUUUGAAAUUAUUUCUACUCCCAACAAGAAAAUUGAGGUUCUGUUCAGAUUUGAGUUCAAGCACGACGACACCAGGAUGGAAGUCUUGGUUGCAGACGUCGAUACAUAUGUGGCAUCCGUUCUCCAUCGCCCCACAGUGCAUAAGCUUCUUCACCGUGCACAGCAUCAUCGCCUAUUUCAAGGUCAUCUUCUGGUAGCCUCAGAUCAACUAAGCGACUAAUAAGAAUACAGAUUAAGCUUGUCAUAACCACAUUCCAGGCUGUAAUAAAAGCUGCUCCUUCAAAUUGGGUAACCAUUUGUUUAAGGCCAUCAUGGUGUCUUCCAUUUGUGAGGCUAUAGAAUAAUCCUGUGCCGUAGGUGCUGUGUGGGUACAUCAGCUUUAAGAGGGAAGGUUUGGCAAAGACGCCUGACAUAAUUCCUCCGAGAAGGCCAGCCACCGCGUGCGUGUGGAAGACCGCCAAUGUGUCAUCCACACUUUGGAAGAUUGCAGAUUUUUUGUGCAGUACCAUCAUGGUGUACCAUGUCACUGAGCCAGACAUUCCUCCCAUCAACAUUGCUGCCCAUGGCUCCACUAUUCCCGCGGCGGGAGUGAUGCAGACAAGGCCAGUGAUCAUGCCUUGAACAGCACCAAUGACGGAGCUUUUCUUGUAAAUAAUCAUGUCCAGGGAAAGCCAGACUAGCAGGCUGGUGGCGGUGCAGAGGUGGGUGUUGAGAACGGCCAGAGAGGCCACUAGUCCAGCAGCAAAUGGAGAGCCACCGUUAAAGCCUGUCCAUCCCAACCAUACAAAUCCUGCUCCUCCUAACAUAUGAAUUAUAUUGUUUGGAGGGAAAUGCUGCCUGUCAUGUGAAUGCCUUGGUCCUACCUAAUUUCAUUUACCAUCAUCAUUUAUCAUUAAGAUUAAUUCAUAUUUAACCUCAUCUCAGUUUGUGAUUAAGCUCCUGUAAUCAUGUUUUCUAUAAUUACUAAAAACAAACUAAGAAUUAAAAUGAAAAACCAACAAAGCAUGGAGUUUGAGCUAGUGCCAUACCAAAUGUAUCCCGAAAAUAGUUUAAAAAUCAAUUUGUCUCAUGAAUUUGUAUGAAUUAAUUAAAUUUUUUUCUCA